rnacentral:tRNA from 1 species
CCUCUGGCAGCUCAGUUGGUAGAGCGGUGGACUGUAGAUCCAUAGGUCGCUGGUUCAAAUCCGGCCCAGAGGA